rnacentral:rRNA from 1 species
AGGCUGCAACUCGCCUGCAUGAAGUCGGAAUUGCUAGUAAUCGCGGAUCAGCAUGCCGCGGUGAAUACGUUCUCGGGCCUUGUACACACCGCCCGUCACACCAUGGGAGUCGGUAACACCCGAAGUCUGUAGCCUGACGCAAGAGGGCGCAGCCGAAGGUGGGAUUGAUGACUGGGGUGAAGUCGUAACAAGGUAGC